rnacentral:rRNA from 1 species
UGAAAUCAAGUGUGACGACCCGCUGAACUUAAGCAUAUCAAUAAGCGGAGGAAAAGAAAUCAAAUGAGAUUUCCCUAGUAGCUGCGAGUGAACUGGAAUCAAGCCUAUUGCCAAUUCUUAUGUUUUGUACAAUAAGAGAUGAGGUGUAAAGGUAUCUCGCGUUCAGCAGUGGCACGGCCUAAUUAUUAUUGAGUCAGUGCUCAAAGAAGGUGAAAAGCCUGUAUGGUUGCGCCGAUCUGUUGAACCGUGAUACUGGAGAGUCUAGUUGUUUGAGAGUACAACUUAAAGUUGGUGGUAAAUUUCAUCAAAGGCUAAAUAUACGAAGGGACUAAUAGCGAACAAGUACCAUGAGGGAAAGUUGAAAAGAACUCUGACGAGAGAGUUCAACAGUACGUGAAACCACAUUGAGUAAAACAGAUAACUGUGUUGUUAUGUGGUGUGCCUAUCAACAGUCACUUCGGCGUUGCCACGUUUUGGGUGUAGGCUGUCUAUUCAGCUGAAUGCCUAAAACUAGCAUAGUCGGAGGUGCUGUGCACUAGUGCGCACUCGAUCAUUGAGAAGCUAUGCCGCUGCUGCAUCGGUAUGUGUCAGUCCGCACUUAGUGUGUAGUCACAUGCUGGGUAAUUGCUAGCCUUGGCGUAGUUUAGCUGUGUGACAGCUGUGGGUUGCGUUUGUCGAUUGUAGCUGCUGUAUCUGCGAACUGGUUUAUUCCUUUUUGCGGUGAGUAUGUUGCAGGACGCAAGCAGCCCGCCAUCAAUGGUAACAUUAGU